GAGACUGUCUCAAAAAAAAAGAAAAAAAAAAAAAAGGCAAAUCCACAGAGACAGAAAGUAGGAGGGCAAGUUGAAGACAUCUUCAGAUGACAAACAAAAGCAGAGUUAGCUGCCAUAGGCCCUUAUCAUGGAAACUACUGAAGAAUGAACCUAAGACACAAGAAAACUGAACCCAAAAGGAAAUAGGGAAAUGCAAUAAAAAAUGGGGCUUCUCCCACCCUUUGCUCUGCACUUCUUGCUGCCACCAUGUGAAGAAGGAUGUGUUUGCUUCCCCUUCCACCAUGAUUGUAAGUUUCCUGAGGCAUCUGCAGCCAUGAAGAACUGUGAGUCAAUUAAACCUCUUUAUAAAUUACCCAGUCUCCAGCCAUUCUUUAUAGCUCUUUAUAGGGGUGUGAGAACAGACUAACAAGGGGUUUGAAGAUGGGUAAUCAGUGCUAAAUCUUGCAAAUGGCCAGGAGGAGGGAUGUUAGUGACAAAGGUUUGUUUUUCCGAGACCCUUCAAUCAAUCACCCUCAUGCUUAAUUUUCCUACAUGGAGCUUUAGGGGAAGCUAUGAGGAACAUGGUUUCUGACACAUAGUAAGUGUUCAGUAAAUAUUUGCUGACCAGAUAUAGUGGAAGUGCCUCGUCUUCUAGUCUGUUUGGUCUCAGCUGCAGAAGCGAGAUGAUGAAGGGAAUGUCAUCGUUUGGGAAGCAUCACAAUAAGACACACACGUUGUACCACCACUAUGGCUCUAAGGCCUACCACCUCCAGAAGACGACCUGUGGCAAAUGUGGCUACCCUGCCAAACACAAGAGAAAGUAUAACUGGGUGCCAAGGCUAAACGGUGAAAUACCACCAGGACUGGUUGAAUGAGACACCUAAAAAUUGUUUGCCGCAGACUGAGGCCAGAUUCUGAAAAGGAACAACACCUAAACCCAAGAGGGCAGCUGUUGCAGCAUCCAGUUCAUCUUAAGAAUUUCAAUGAUUAGUCAUGUGAUAAAUGUUCUAGUUUAAAAAAAAAA